AUGAAGCGUGCAUUGGUGUGUGUGCUGAUGGCUGCCUGGAGCCUUGGAUGUGGCAGCCAGACGGUGAACCAGCCAGCAGAGAAUGUGUACGCCAUGAAAGGCGACUCAGUUACGCUGGACUGCAGCUAUGAAAAUUCUGGAGGCAUCGAUUACAUCUUCUGGUACAAACAGGAUGGGCAGACGACACCAAAGUUCAUCCUGAGCCUCUCAAUAUUCGGUGAGGGCAAGACUGAGAGCAGCUUUGAAAAGAGGUUCAGCUGCAGCAUCAAUGACACCGCCAAGCGAGCUCCUCUGAAGAUCCAAGACGUGCCGCUGAGCGAUUCUGCUGUCUUCUACUGCGCCAUCCAGCCCACAAUGACUGACAUCUCUGCUGCACCUGCACAAAAACCUCUUGCAAACAUGUGUAGAGACUUCAUCCCGCUCCUGCUGUGCGAUGGUAUUUGCAGUACGUUUCCUCCUGUCUCUCUUCUCCUCUGCGAGCUGGCCUCUCCUCAAAUCAGCCUCUGCGAUACCCCGUCUAACCGCUUGACGCCAGACAUUUCGGUUCUCCGCCUGUAUCUCCCAGCUGUCUAA